AGAGAUCACUGUUCCCGCGCGUGAAGCCCAGAGGCCCCGUGCAGGGCACUGGCCCUGCUCUGUGACGUCAGACCCAGGCCCCGCCCCCUCACUCGGAGCCAAUCGAAGGGCGGGGCGGGGUCCUCCAGAAGAGCGCGGGCGCGCGGGCGGGCGGGCGCCCACGGGGUCCGGAGAGAUGGACCCAGCCAUUCCCAGCGUCCAGGCUCAGGCCCGGCCGUCUCCACCCGAGGCGUGGCCGCCGGUGGGCUUGGAGGAAGAGCUCUAUGACUGUCCAGAUUACUACUACCUGCGUGACUUCCCGGCCUGCGGGGCCGGGCGCAGCAAGGGCCGGACCCGGCGCGAGCGGGAACUGCGCACCAACUGGCCGGUGCGCGGCGGCCACGAGCGCAAGAUCGCACAGAAGCUCCUCAAUGGCCAGCGCAAGCGUCGCCAGCGCCAGCUGCAGCCUCGGCCGCGCACCCGUCUCGCCUGAGCGCCGGUGCGUACGGGCAGCCACCGGCCAGGACCCAAGGGACUCGACUGCCCCCUGCGACUCGACCCGGGCACAGUCGCCCCCUUUUGAGGCUGCCCCGCCUAGCGAGUCAGAUCUGGGCCUGCUAAACCCCCAGCUUAUCUCCUGGCUUCAGUUGGAAUGGUGAUACCCAAAGGACUUGAUAAAAAGUAUUUUCUGACUCCAGCUGUAACUGUGGUCCUAAGGGGCAGAGAGUCCAUGUUGCUCAACAGAACUUCUUUUCAACAUCGCUUAAGUUUACUUCUUCAGUAUCUUUUCCUUACUGAUUGUUAAUUAAGUAACAUCCAAGUGGGUAAGCCUUUUUAGGGUUUUUAAUUAAAAGAGAGCAGCAAGAAUGGCA